CGAACGGUCUCUUCGGAGGCAGUGGCAGACGGGUGAGUGACGCGUGGGACCCAUACCUUUCGGUACGGAACAACAGUUGGAAACGACUGCUAAUACCGUAUACGCCCUGAGGGGGAAAGAUUUAUCGCCGAGAGAUUGGCCCGCGUUGGAUUAGCUAGUUGGUGGGGUAAUGGCCUACCAAGGCGACGAUCCAUAGCUGGUCUGAGAGGAUGAUCAGCCACACUGGGACUGAGACACGGCCCAGACUCCUACGGGAGGCAGCAGUGGGGAAUAUUGGACAAUGGGCGCAAGCCUGAUCCAGCCAUGCCGCGUGAGUGAUGAAGGCUUUAGGGUUGUAAAGCUCUUUCGCCGGUGAAGAUAAUGACGGUAACCGGUAAAGAAGCCCCGGCUAACUUCGUGCCAGCAGCCGCGGUAAUACGAAGGGGGCUAGCGUUGUUCGGAAUUACUGGGCGUAAAGCGCACGUAGGCUGACUUUUAAGUCAGGGGUGAAAUCCCGGGGCUCAACCUCGGAACUGCCCUUUGAUACUGGAAGU
rnacentral:rRNA from 1 species